rnacentral:rRNA from 1 species
CACGUAGGGGGCAAGCGUUGUCCGGAUUUAUUGGGCGUAAAGAGCUCGUAGGCGGCUCAGUAAGUCAGGUGUGAAACCUCCAGGCUCAACCUGGAGACGCCACCUGAUACUGCUGUGGCUAGAGUCCGGUAGGGGAGCGUGGAAUUCCUGGUGUAGCGGUGAAAUGCGUAGAGAGUCGGGAGGAAGGCCGGUGGCGAAGGCGGCGCUCUGGAACAUUUC